rnacentral:rRNA from 1 species
CACGUAGUUAGCCGGCGCUUUUUCUGCAGGUACCGUCACUUUCGCUUCUUCCCUGCUAAAAGAGGUUUACAACCCGAAGGCCGUCAUCCCUCACGCGGCGUUGCUGCAUCAGGCUUGCGUCCAUUGUGCAAUAUUCCCCACUGCUGCCUCCCGUAGGAGUCUGGGCCGUGUCUCAGUCCCAGUGUGGCCGGUCACCCUCUCAGGCCGGCUACCCGUCGACGCCUUGGUGAGCCAUUACCCUCACCAACAAGCUGAUAGGCCGCGAGCCCAUCCCCAACCAAUAAAUCUUUCCAGUAACUGACCAUGCGGUCGCUACUCGUAUCCAGUAUUAGACGCCGUUUCCAGCGCUUAUCCCAGAGUCAGGGGCAGGUUGCUCACGUGUUACUCACCCGUUCGCCACUGAUCCCACAGAGCAAGCUCCGUGUUCACCGUUCGACUUGCAUGUGUUAAGCACGCCGCCAGCGUUCAUCCUGAGCCAGGAUCAAACUCU